CUCCAGUUUGCCUAGUGGAUAAGGCUAUGGAUUGCCAAUCCGGAGACGGCGGGUUUGAUUCCUGUUCUGGUCG
rfam:Aedes albopictus isolate Foshan contig116243, whole genome shotgun sequence.